rnacentral:rRNA from 1 species
AUUGAACGCUGGCGGUAUGCUUAACACAUGCAAGUCGAACGAUGAGAAAGAGCUUGCUCUUUCGAUUAGUGGCGGACGGGUGCGUAACGCGUAGGAAUCUACCUAUUAGUGGGGGACAACUUAGGGAAACUUAAGCUAAUACCGCAUACGCCCUACGGGGGAAAGAAGGGGAUCGCAAGACCUUUUGCUAAUAGAUGAGCCUGCGUAGGAUUAGCUAGUUGGUGGGGUAAAAGCUCACCAAGGCGACGAUCCUUAACUGGUUUGAGAGAAUGAUCAGUCACACUGGAACUGAGACACGGUCCAGACUCCUACGGGAGGCAGCAGUGGGGAAUAUUGGACAAUGGGCGAAAGCCUGAUCCAGCAAUACCGCGUGUGUGAAGAAGGCCUUAGGGUUGUAAAGCACUUUCAAUUGGAAGGAAAACCUCGAAGCUAAUACCUUCGAGUUUGACAUUACCUUUAGAAGAAGCACCGGCUAACUCCGUGCCAGCCGCCGCCGUAAUAC